AGAACCUACUCCAACAGUUCAACCACAUGAAGUAUCUAAAAAGCUCCUUGAAAUUAAACCUUUUAAAGCUCACGGCCCAGAUAACGUCCCCUGUCGUAUCCUGAAAGAGUUUGCCCAUGAAUUAGCCGAAUCUGUUGCAACUACUGUCAACGAAUCACUUUCAUCUGGAAUCGUCCCUGCAAUAUGGAAAGACUCAGACAUCAUACCAGUUCCAAAAUCACAACCUCCUACCUGUGAAGGUGACACCAGACCCAUCUCACUGACACCCUGCCUGGCUAAGGUUCUUUAAGAUUUCGUGGUCGGGUGGAUAAUAACCGAUAUUAAAGACAAGAUCGACCCCAAGCAGUUUGGAUGCUUGAAAGGAACAUCCACAACUUAUUGUCUUUUAGACAUGAUCCACACUUGGUUGUGCAACUUAGAGUGUCCUGAAAA